rnacentral:lncRNA from 1 species
CAGUAACCAGAAAACAGCCUCAGGACAGGUCCACCAACAGAUCUUCUGUGUCCCCUAGUACCAUCUGGAGGUUUCUGUGAAAGUCUCAGCAGCAGAGGUGUAAACAACCUCAUUGAUAUGAAACAUGGAAGACCCAGGAGAUCUUAAAGCAGGCAUCCCCUUAAACUAGAGGUCUGCCUGCCCACCAACAUUGCUACUCUGCAAUCCCAAGAGAAAGACCUUCGGUUUUCCAGAGCCUGGUCACCUGGUGAGGAAGAUGCUCCAGGGCCUUGGACUCUCCCGUUUUCAGCAACAGCAAAGUAACAACAAGCCACAGACCAGAGCAGAAACAUUUGCUCCUGGGUCUGUGGCUGAGCUGGAGGAAGAGAACCUCAGCAAAUGCCCAAAUGCCAUGGAGUUACAGUCAAGUGUGACAGGAAACUUGACACUUGCAUGUGGAAUCCUGAGAAAUCGAAUGAGACAUUGGCAGACCGGGUUUCUGAAAAAGAAACAAACUAAUUAAAGGACUGCUUCCUUACAAGAUAAAGAAGUCUUUCACCGUGGGCCCCUCUGAUGUCUGAGACAUUUGCCUCUUUCUAGGUUCUGCACUGUCUACCAGCAGGAAAGGGGACUUUUCCCUGUACUGUUUGAAAAGAUGACUUCAGGUGGUUUCUGCUCAGGUAGCACAGGGGAUUUUGAGGCAAGCCCACACUGUCAACGUCACUUCCUUGGCAUCAGUGGGAUCUCAAACAUCCUGGAACAGGUUAUGUACUGCUAGAACCUCUCAUCUGGGCGGGAAUGGAAAUCCAAGGAUAAAUUCUAUUGUCUCCACUCAGUCACACAUACUUGUUGCCAAUAUCAGAGCUUAAUAUUCU